GAUUUUCAGUUGACUGAGCGGCGGACGGGUGAGUAACGCGUGGGUGACCUGCCCCAUACCGGGGGAUAACAGCUGGAAACGGCUGCUAAUACCGCAUAAGCGCACAGAGCUGCAUGGCUCGGUGUGAAAAACUCCGGUGGUAUGGGAUGGGCCCGCGUCUGAUUAGGCAGUUGGCGGGGUAACGGCCCACCAAACCGACGAUCAGUAGCCGGCCUGAGAGGGCGACCGGCCACAUUGGGACUGAGACACGGCCCAAACUCCUACGGGAGGCAGCAGUGGGGAAUAUUGCACAAUGGGGGAAACCCUGAUGCAGCGACGCCGCGUGAGCGAAGAAGUAUUUCGGUAUGUAAAGCUCUAUCAGCAGGGAAGAUAAUGACGGUACCUGACUAAGAAGCCCCGGCUAACUACGUGCCAGCAGCCGCGGUAAUACGUAGGGGGCAAGCGUUAUCCGGAUUUACUGGGUGUAAAGGGAGCGUAGACGGCAAGGCAAGUCUGAUGUGAAAACCCAGGGCUUAACCCUGGGACUGCAUUGGAAACUGUCUGGCUCGAGUGCCGGAGAGGUAAGCGGAAUUCCUAGUGUAGCGGUGAAAUGCGUAGAUAUUAGGAAGAAC
rnacentral:rRNA from 1 species